rnacentral:rRNA from 1 species
UACGGAGGUGGCGAGCGUUGUCCGGAUUUACUGGGCGUAAAGGGCGCGUAGGCGGCGCGAUAAGUCAAAGGUGAAAUCCCUCGGCUCAACUGAGGAACUGCCUUUGAGACUGUCGAGCUUGAGGCCGGGAGGGGGUAGCGGAAUUCCCAGUGUAGCGGUGAAAUGCGUAGAUAUUGGGAGGAACACCAGUGGCGAAGGCGGCUACCUGGACCGGUUCUGACGCUGAGGAGCGAAAGUGUGGGGAGCGAACAGG